UACGUAGGGAGCAAGCGUUGUCCGGAAUCAUUGGGCGUAAAGCGCGCGUAGGCGGCCUCAUAAGUCCGUUGUGAAAGUCAAGGGCUCAACCUUUGAAAGCCGAUGGAUACUGUGAGGCUAGAGUCCGGAAGAGGCGAGUGGAAUUCCUGGUGUAGCGGUGGAAUGCGCAGAUAUCAGGAGGAACACCAAUAGCGAAGGCAGCUCUCUGGGACGGUACUGACGCUGAGACGCGAAAGCGUGGGGAGCGAACAGG
rnacentral:rRNA from 1 species